rnacentral:rRNA from 1 species
UUGCGGUUAAAAAGCUCGUAGUCGAAUCUGUGUCCCGCGUCCGCGGGACGUCCUGCCGGUGGGCUUAGCCCGCAAGGGCGGCCCAACUUCAAAUCCCAUCGCGGUGCUCUUCACUGAGUGUCGAGGUGGGCCGGCACGUUUACUUUGAACAAAUUAGAGUGCUUAAAGCAGGCUAAAACUUCGCCUGAAUACUGUGUGCAUGGAAUAAUGGAAUAGGACCUCGGUUCUAUUUUGUUGGUUUUCGGAACCCCGAGGUAAUGAUUAAUAGGAACGGAUGGGGGCAUUCGUAUUGCGACGUUAGAGGUGAAAUUCUUGGAUCGUCGCAAGACGGACAGAAGCGAAAGCAUUUGCCAAAAACGCUUUCAUUGAUCAAGAACGAAAGUUAGAGGUUCGAAGGCGAUCAGAUACCGCCCUAGUUCUAACCAUAAACGAUGCCAGCUAGCGAUCCGUCGACGUUCCUCCGAUGACUCGACGGGCAGCUUCCGGGAAACCAAAGCUUUUGGGUUCCGGGGGAAGUAUGGUUGCAAAGCUGAAACUUAAAGGAAUUGACGGAAGGGCACCACCAGGAGUGGAGCCUGCGGCUUAAUUUGACUCAACACGGGAAACCUCACCAGGCCCGGACACCGGAAGGAUUGACAGAUUGAGAGCUCUUUCUUGAUUCGGUGGGUGGUGGUGCAUGGCCGUUCUUAGUUGGUGGAGCGAUUUGUCUGGUUAAUUCCGAUAACGAACGAGACUCUAGCCUGCUAACUAGGCGUAUUUUCGACAUCUCAAAGGUCCGUCGUCCCGGCCCUCGGGUCGUGGGCGUGCGCGAUUUUUACUGUCGGCGUACUAUCAAUUCUUCUUAGAGGGACAGGUGGCUUCUAGCCGCACGAGAUUGAGCAAUAACAGGUCUGUGAUG